AACGAACGCUGGCGGCAGGCCUAACACAUGCAAGUCGAACGCCGUAGCAAUACGGAGUGGCAGACGGGUGAGUAACACGUGGGAACGUACCCUUCGGUUCGGGAUAACUCAGGGAAACUUGAGCUAAUACCGGAUACGUCCGAGAGGAGAAAGAUUUAUCGCCGAGGGAUCGGCCCGCGUCUGAUUAGCUUGUUGGUGAGGUAACGGCUCACCAAGGCGACGAUCAGUAGCUGGCUGAGAGGAUGAUCAGCCACAUUGGGACUGAGACACGGCCCAAACUCCUACGGGAGGCAGCAGUGGGGAAUAUUGGACAAUGGGCGCAAGCCUGAUCCAGCCAUGCCGCGUGAGUGAUGAAGGCCCUAGGGUUGUAAAGCUCUUUUACCCGGAAGAUAAUGACUGUACCGGGAGAAUAAGCCCCGGCUAACUUCGUGCCAGCCGCCGCGGUAAU
rnacentral:rRNA from 1 species